CAACCUGCCUAUAACUAGGGAAUAACCUUGCGAAAGUAAGACUAAUACCCUAUGAUUUCCUUUGAUGACAUCAGAUUAGGAAUAAAGAUUUAUCGGUUAUAGAUGGGGAUGCGUCUGAUUAGCUUGUUGGCGGGGUAACGGCCCACCAAGGCAACGAUCAGUAGGGGUUCUGAGAGGAAGGUCCCCCACAUUGGAACUGAGACACGGUCCAAACUCCUACGGGAGGCAGCAGUGAGGAAUAUUGGUCAAUGGGCGGAAGCCUGAACCGGCCAAGUAGCGUGCAGGAUGACGGCCCUAUGGUUGUAAACUGCUUUUAUACAGGAAUAAAGUUAGCCACGUGUGGUUAUUUGUAGGUACUGUAUGAAUAAGGACCGGCUAAUUCCGUGCCAGCAGCCGCGGUAAUACGGAAGGUCCAGGCGUUAUCCGGAUUUAUUGGGUUUAAAGGGAGCGUAGGCCGUCUGUUAAGCGUGUUGUGAAAUGUAGAUGCUCAACAUCUGAAUUGCAGCGCGAACUGGCAGACUUGAGUGUGCGCAACGUAGGCGGAAUUCGUGGUGUAGCGGAGAAAUGCUUAGAUAUCACGAAGAACUCCGAUUG
rnacentral:rRNA from 1 species